CCACUAUUUAUGGAAGUUCCACACUGUAAAAACGAUAACUAGUAAUUGUUGAUUUGAGUAAAGUUUUCAAAUUAAACUGACUUAGAAAUAAAACUUUCCAUUUACAACCUAAAAUAGCUUGUCUGCCCAACAAAUUUCUUCCAUUGUUGUCCUAACUAAGAUUUUCUAGCGAGCAUAACAAAGAUUAUCAACUUUUGAGUAGAGUUUUUGAGUCGAGUUGGGAACCGGUGGGAAACCCCGUAGGUGACUGGCACACGUCGUGGUCUGAAUAAGUUUGAACUAGACCAAAUGAGUCUGAGCAGACUGUGUGAUAGUGGUUUGUCGAUGUGUUCUGAACUGAAAACCUGCUAAGAAAAUUUGAACAAACGUGGCCAAAGUUGGAUGAAAAUUACAAUUUUUCGACCAUUACGGAUUUUACCUGGUCUGAAGUUGGAGUGUAUUAUUUGACCAUUUUUUGGACAGGUGCGGGAGCUGCCGGCCAUUUGCCCUAGCAGGCGGAGAGAGGUCGUGGAGUGUCAGCCUAUGGUAUCUGAGGUCCAGGAGAGAUGACCUGCGCUGUUUUCCUCUGAGGAGGUAAGACUGUCCUAAUUUAUUUAUAAUUUAAUUAUUAUUCUAAUUGGGCAUGAUUUAUACUUAUAUUGAAGUAGUACGGUAUUUGCUGGGGUAAUGCAUUGGCCAACUUUAUUAUCUUGUGCUACCACUCCAGUCAAGGCCCUUGCCAGUGUUAUAUUGAAAUCCUUACCCUGAACAUUUCUGCCAGUACAAGAGUCCCCAUGCUAAAUCGAAAUUGUGAAACAGAAAGGCAAUCUCAUAAUUUUGACUUAGCAUGUAUUUUUUUUGUGUCUGUGUGUGCUAGAAAUAGGACUUCUAUAGUCUGAGAUUGUUAGGGAAAGAAUACUAAGGCAGGUCACAGAAUCUGAUUGGUCACAGAUUUUGGUGCAACUUAGAACAUAAUAUGUAUUUUCAUAUUGAUACUGGGUUUUGUGGGGGGUGUUUCUAUUCCUGUGCAAAAGACGUAUUCAUGAGAGAUUUUUGAAGUAGGUUUUGCUUUUGAUAACACAGUCAGGCAUAUAACAUGGUGCAGACUGUCCAAGAAGAGCUACCCAGGAAUUUUCUGUGCUGAAUAAAUGACAAUAUUUUGGUGAAUGCAUCCCUUGACAAAUUUGUGCCUGGCCUGCUGAAACUGUACUGGUCUAAGAAGGGAGCUCUUGGUGAGGAGAUGGAAGACCUCCUGGAUAAACUUGAUGAACAGACAUCCAACACUGUGUCCAACGGGCACUGAGAGGCCUGCCCAUUUUCCUCAAGAGAAGAUGCAACAGAGGUUUUCCUGAAGUGCUUAGACACUGACAUUUUGGAACCAGUGUUGAACGGUGCAUCAGUUGCCAUCCUCACCAUCCUACAAGAUGACGAUGCUGAUACGUCUGUGCGAGAA